UACGUAGGGGGCUAGCGUUGUCCGGAUUUAUUGGGCGUAAAGAGCGUGUAGGCGGCCAUGUAGGUCCGGUGUGAAAACUCGAGGCUUAACCUCGAGAUGUCAUCGGAAACCAUUUGGCUAGAGUCCUGGAGAGGAAGGUGGAAUGCUUGGUGUAGAGGUGAAAUUCGUAGAUAUCAAGCGGAACACCGGUGGCGAAGGCGGCCUUCUGGACAGUGACUGACGCUGAGACGCGAAAGCGUGGGGAGCAAACAGG
rnacentral:rRNA from 1 species